rnacentral:lncRNA from 1 species
GAGAUGAGGUUUCCAUGCAUGGGAGUAGGAGAACGGGUUUGAACGGAUGAGGUGGUGAAAUGAUGGAUGGAGGCAUAGGUAUGUGGUGGGUAUGGGAAGAGUGAAAAUGGGAGGGGAAUGAAGCGGGUUGUUGCAAUGGGUGUGAUGGAUAAAUGAACGGGUAUGAGGAUGGGUUUGGAGGUUAUGAUUGAUGAAGAUUUAGAGAGAGAAGUGGGUAUGAAGAGGGUUUGGUGGGUGUGAAGGUGGAGAGAUGAGGGUGGCUAUGG